rnacentral:lncRNA from 1 species
UUGGAGUUUGUGACCCAAAUUUUGUUGAUCCGUCCCUGAAAAGAUCGCGGUGCGAUUCAUGUUUGAGAUUUUUGAGAGCCUUGUGAUGGUAGCGUGGGAAUCGGGCCAAUAGAGUUUUCUUGUACGCGCGUAUUAUAUAAGUGUGACUUAGAGAGUUAGUUUUAAUAUGACGGUUCUUGUAUGUCAUUGAGAACUUUGGCUCCUCCUUGUAUUCCUCUCCGAUAUAGUAAAUCUUUCCUCCUCUGGCCGUGGUUUUUUCCGUCAAGGAUUUCCACAUAAAUGUGUGUGUUCAUCUUGUUUUUCUUUUGAUAAUCAUAUUGCUUGUUCCUGAUUAAUUUCAUAACAGUAUUGAUAGAAUUUUAACAAUACAAAGUAAAAUGAAACAUGAGUUGCAGUGUUUUACUCUUUAAUAUAAUCCUCCUACAUAAUAUGGAGGAUAUCCUUAUAUUAAGCAUGCAUUUCUGGAUCAAAUGACCGAGAAGAUUAACCAACAUUAUUAUAUUAGUUUAAGCCGUUUGUUGAUCAUAUCAAGAGUAAUAAUACCAACUACAGAUUAAUUGUUAACAUCUGAAAUGAACAGUUAACACUUAACAAAUAUAAAAUAGUGGCCUUUAUUUACAAAUUAUAAAUUUGUGGAUCCAUUUUUGUAUUUGAAAAAGGUGAUAUCAUGAUAUCAAAAUUAUCAAAUCAAGUUUUGGAGAACUUAAAAUUUUAUCUUUCCUAAUUUCAAAUUAGGACAUGAAAUCGCUUGUCCAAACGCUUACUUAGUUGCUUAUCCCUUGGCCAUGCAGUCCAAAAAUAAAUUUUGACUGUCAUACUCCCUCAACUUCAUAAAAUUAUCAUUGUUUCUUUAUUAAUCUAGUUAAAAGGAAUGACACAUAUAAUAUGUGAAAAUAAAUAACUUUUAUUGACGAAAUCUUAUAGCCACAAAACAUUAUGACUACAAGUUUCAAGAUUUUAUUUUAUAGUAAAAUUUUGUUCUAAGUCAAACUAUAUCACAUAAAUUAAAACAGAGAAAGUAAUAACGAGAGAUAAAACAUGAAUAGAACUUGGAGCUAGACAUGAUAUUUUGUUCCUGCAUACUAAAUUAUCUCAUGGUUUAGGAUUUGACUUUUGAAGGAAUGUACUUUAAGAAGGUUUGGCAGAACUGAACAGAUUGAAAAUGCUUUCCCUCUAUACAGAAUUCAAUAUUUAUAUAAACACACACACACAAGGCAGUGGAAGCAGGGGCUUUGAAGAUAACAUAAGGAAAGAACAAACUAAAGAAUGGCUACUAAACCUGGAAUCCUUACAGAAUGGCCUUGGGCAUCCCUUGGCAACUUCAAGGUACUCUUUCUUGGAUUCCAAACUAUUUUUCCAGUCAAAACAUGUUAUGUUUCUUCUUCUGUUGUUGGCGACUACAUGUUCCUUCAUUGAUGCAUCAGUACUGUAUGGUCUUGCACUGAGUUCUUUACCGUCCAAGUAGAAGUGAACAACAAAAGUGUGUGUUUUAUUAUCAGAUCCUACCUUACAUUCAAGUAGUAUUGGCAUUUGCAAGUUUAAUGCAUUUAACUUUGUGUAUUCUCUUCUUUCUUCCAUAUCUUUUUCAAAUUUAUGAUUUUGUGCUGAAUCGUGAAGUUACUAUACUAGAACUUUUGCUAAACUCUUUUUACAUUUUUUAAUUGUCGUGAUGA